GACGAACGCUGGCGUCGUGCUUAACACAUGCAAGUCGAACGGAAAGGCCCUGCUUUUGUGGGGUGCUCGAGUGGCGAACGGGUGAGUAACACGUGAGUAACCUGCCCUUGACUUUGGGAUAACUUCAGGAAACUGGGGCUAAUACCGGAUAGGAGCUCCUGCUGCAUGGGGGGGGUUGGAAAGUUUCGGCGGUUGGGGAUGGACUCGCGGCUUAUCAGCUUGUUGGUGGGGUAGUGGCUUACCAAGGCUUUGAAGGGUAGCCGGCCUGAGAGGGUGACCGGCCACAUUGGGACUGAGAUACGGCCCAGACUCCUACGGGAGGCAGCAGUGGGGAAUAUUGCACAAUGGGCGGAAGCCUGAUGCAGCAACGCCGCGUGCGGGAUGACGGCCUUCGGGUUGUAAACCGCUUUCGCCUGUGACGAAGCGUGAGUGACGGUAAUGGGUAAAGAAGCACCGGCUAACUACGUG
rnacentral:rRNA from 1 species